GCCUCGCGAGACUUAGUGGCGUCAGACAGCGUCAUGUGACGCACCUCGUGAUCCUUUGCGGAAGAGGAAGGGAUUUCAUUAGUGACUACACGCUAACAUUGAUCUGCUUAAACUUUCCGCUUUUACCUUUCCUUCGCCGCCAUCAGCCCAGCAAUGGACGGAUCUGUCAGAGCAGCUUCAGACGCGGGACCGCCGGCUUAUAACAGAGGAAAUGAAAGCUCCCUGGUUUCAGCCCUCAAGACCCUGCUGUUCUUCACCAUCCUGAUGGUCACGCUGCCCAUUGGUCUCUACUUUGCAACAAAGGCGUUCCUCUUUGAGGGUUCCAUGAAGAUGUCAAGCUCUGACAGCUACUUCUAUGCAGCCAUUGUUGCAGUGCUCGCUGUGCAUGUGGUUUUGGCUUUGUUUGUUUAUGUGGCCUGGAACGAAGGGACGCCUAAAGGGAAGGGCAAAGACGAUUAAGGCAUGUCCUUAUCAGCUCGUUAGACCGGAGGAGACGGACAGACACGGGCAUGGAUCUGCAGCCCCCCCCCCCCCCCCCCCCCCCCCCCCACCAUGGGCUCCAGCACUAAACACAGCACCAUCUACCAACCAGACAGUUAGGGGAUCUGGUUCGCUCUUAGGCUUUAACACAAGGUUAAAGCAUGUAACUACCGUACUAUUCUCUGGUACGGGGGAGUGGAGACUGUUAGGUGUGUUGUUCACCGGCCUCAGCAGGCCCGCUUAUUGACUUUUUGUUCUCUUAAAAUGUUACUUUUGUUGACAGAGCUAUUUUUAGGAGGCUUUAUUAUAAGCUGCCAUUUAGCUAAGUGCUGUAAGUCCCUUUGCAGAAAGAGUUUACGUAAGAAAACAUCUUGGGUUUUGGGUGAUCCCAAAAUGCUCUACGUCCAUUCUGUCAGAAUUUGAACUGCUUAUUUGAGCAUUCUGUCCUAAAAUUUCAGUUCUUAUCUGCAAACAUUUAAAGAUGACUCUUAACUUCAAAAUAAACCCAUAAUGUGUGUGACUUUCAUGUUGUACUUUGGAUCAAAAUCUUCACGACUUCUUCUCUACAAAAUAUUCAGACUCAUCUGUUUGUCUUUGUAAACAAGUGUUUUGGAUUUUCCUGAACGUGUGUGUGUAAUGUAGCUCAGUGAUGUUUUGGAAAUUUAAAUUUGGAAAUUAUUGCAAUAACAUUGUAUUUGAAGAAACGUUUUGUAUUUAAGAUGUUUGGUGAUGUCAUGAAGUCGGUGUGAUAAAGAGGAGAAUGUUGACUUGCUCAAAUAAACUUAAUAACUCUAACUUUUUAGUUCACUGAAACCUAAUGCAGAUUUGUAUUUUUUGGAAAUGUUAAAUUGUGCAUGAAAAUGCUUACACAUUUGUUACGGUAUACAAUUCCCUGUAACGAACAUGGUACACUAAUGAUACAGAGAGAAUCAGAUGUGAUGUAGACAUCAUAGUCAUCAGGUUUCUUAUAUACUGUAUAUUUUGAGAUUAUAAUACAUGCAGUCUCAUACUGAAAAGGGUUGAGGUUAAUAUCUUGUGGCUUAGGCCUGCCACAUGUGGUCUAUAGCAGUGGCCUGCUAAAAUCAGAGUAUUUCUAUUUUGAGAAGAUGCUGUGAUGAAAUCUAGGAUGUUCUAUAUUAAAUAUUAUAUCUUUUAUAUAAGAGUGUAAUUUAAAAAAACCAAACGGCAUCACACAAAAAGCCAUGGAUUCCACUACCAUCUGUUGUGUAAGCCACACUAAAAUGGAUGCCCAGAAA